rnacentral:rRNA from 1 species
GGGCCCGCACAAGCAGUGGAGUAUGUGGUUUAAUUCGACGCAACGCGAAGAACCUUACCAGGUCUUGACAUCCAACUAACGAAGCAGAGAUGCGUUAGGUGCCCUUCGGGGAAAGUUGAGACAGGUGGUGCAUGGUUGUCGUCAGCUCGUGUCGUGAGAUGUUGGGUUAAGUCCCGCAACGAGCGCAACCCUUGCCGAUAGUUGCUACAUUAAGUUGAGCACUCUAUCGGGACCGCUAUCGACAAGAUGGAGGAAGGUGGGGACGACGUCAAAUCAUCAUGCCCUUUAUGACCUGGGCUACACACGUACUACAAUGGCUGUUAACAACGGGAAGCGAAAGCGCGAGCUGGAGCAAAUCCCCAAAAACAGUACUCAGUUCAGAUUGCAGGCUGCAACUCGCCUGUAUGAAGUCGGAAUUGCUAGUAAUCGCGGAUCAGCAUGCG